AGGGGGAACUGGCUUAAAAUACUUUCUACAGUACUGGAGUGGAAAUGAAAAGUGUGGUAUUCUCAAAGCACGUCUAUCAGGCCAGGAUCAAUACGAAAUGCACGUAUGGGAUAGUAAAGUUAAUGAAGCAAACUCGGAGUGCAUGCAAAAAUACAAUGAUUUAACUACUGGAAGAACAUCACACGACGUUUAUUCUGCCAGCUGCAAGACUUCCGCCUGAAAACAUUGAGCUGGAACAUUCUCAGAAGAUAAGCCUCUUAGCGAAAAAAUCAUCUGAAAAGUAUAUUUUGUAGAAUGUAGCAGUAAAAUGGAGCAUGUCUAAAAAUCAAAGAA